rnacentral:tRNA from 1 species
GGUGAAUAGCUUAGUGGUAGAGCAUGUGCUUGGCAUGCUUGAGGCCCUGGGUUCAAUCCCCAGCACCA